GCAGAACUAAGAGAUGGUUCAGCUCCAACUAUAAUCUUCAUCAAAGAGGAAGUUUUAGACCUGGGAGCUGGUUCCAGAAGGGAGGAGCCUGAGAGGGGAGGAGUCUGCGAGGGGAGGAGCCUGGUGGCUGAAGGAUGUUCACUCUGUCUGAAAACCAGAGAAUCAACAACAUGUGGUUGAGCUGCAGUCCAGCUCAGAGGAGGUUCAGGUGAGUCUCACCUGGACUGGUCUCUGCUCCUCGUGCUCCGGGUCUCUGAGUCUUCAGGUGAUUCAGUCUCUUCUCGCGUCAGACACAACAAACCGUCGCGAUGACAACGGGCCCGCGCCUGCGCAGUCCAGUGUAGUCGAACCGCGGUGCGCUUCUUCGUCUGUCUGACCGGAGAUCAGCUCGGUGCUGCCGCCGCUGGACGGAGGAUGAACUGCACCAGCUGAGGGUGAAAGGGUCGCGGGGGGUCGCUGGAGCCAAUCCCAGCUAACAUUGGAGAGAACCCAGGCAUACACG